rnacentral:tRNA from 1 species
GGAUUCUUAGGAGUAGGUUCAAUUCCUAUAGUUCUAG